ACUCCUACGGGAGGCAGCAGUGGGGAAUUUUGCGCAAUGGGGGAAACCCUGACGCAGCAACGCCGCGUGAGUGAUGAAGGCCUUCGGGUCGUAAAGCACUUUUUGCAGGGAAGAGGAAGGACGGUACCUGCAGAAUAAGUCUCGGCUAACUACGUGCCAGCAGCCGCGGUAAAACGUAGGAGACGAGCGUUAUCCGGAUUUACUGGGCGUAAAGCGCGUGCAGGCGGCAUGGCAAGUUGGAUGUGAAAGCUCCCGGCUUAACUGGGAGAGGUCGUUCAAUACUGCCAGGCUUGAGAGUGGUAGAGGGAAGCGGAAUUCCGGGUGUAGUGGUGAAAUGCGUAGAUAUCCGGAGGAACACCAGUGGCGAAAGCGGCUUCCUGGCCCAUUUCUGACGCUCAGACGCGAAAGCUAGGGUAGCAAACGGGAUUAGAGACCCCGGUAGUCCUAGCCGUAGACGAUGUGAACUUGGCGUUGGCGGGUUUAAAUCCGUCAGUGCCGUAGCUAACGCGAUAAGUUCACCGCCUGGGGACUACGGCCGCAAGGUUAAAACUCAAAGGAAUUGACGG
rnacentral:rRNA from 1 species